UGCAGAGGGAACACGACCAAGUAAAUACCAUCAACAUUCAGCUGCAGGUCAAAAACAACCAACUGAUCAACACUUAUAAUCAGCUCAAAAUUGAACUUGAUGGAGAGUGUCAUGAAGGAUGGAGAAGAUUUGGAUCCAGUUUUUACAGAAAAUUCACAAAGAGUAAAACUUGGUCUGAGAGCAGGAGGGAGUGUGAGAAAAGAGGAGCUGAUCUGGUGAUCAUAAACAGCAAAGAGGAGCAGGAUUUUGUGGGAAGACUGUACCCAAAUGAAACCUCCUGGAUUGGUCUGAAAUCGGAAUGGUCACCAAGUAAACAAACAUUUGAAUGGAAAUGGGUGGAUGGAUCACUACUGACAACAACGUUCUUGACUGCAGGAUGGUCUCAACAUCAGUACAACAAACGUGAAUAUGCUGCACUGUGUUGUACUACUGAAGGGAAAUUGACACAUUCACUUCACACUUCCACUAAUAACUGGAUCUGUGAGAAGCAAAUACAAGAUUUCUUUGUUGAAUCCUGAUUAACUUCAGAUAACAUUUGGUCACUUUCAUUUAUUGUGUUUCAUGUGUCAUUUAUAAAUGUGGUGAUUCUGAACUUCAUUAUGUGUACAGGGUAGUGAAGCUGUCAUCAGAACUACAGGAGAACUUUGCUGGAGUAAAAUAUAAUUAUUGUAAAUAAGUAUAAAUGCAGCUUUUCUUCAAUUUGUUUACUUGUGUUUUAAUUUGAUAUGUGAUGAAUGAAGA